UGAGCACGGGAAAGGCAUACAUCUCUCAACUGACUCACUCACUGCUGAGGGCUUGGGGUCAAUGACCAUUUGGGUGCUCUGAUGGGCAUGAACCUUCAUUUGCUGCCCAACCUGGCCAAUCCCUGACGCUGCCCUGCCUUGGAGUGAAUCAUGAUGUGCACAUUCAGAACAUAAUUCUACUUUCCUAGCAUCAGCACCAGCCUAGAAGUAGGAGGUUCUCUUAUCCAAUGGGCAAAGUGGACAGUUGCCCAUGGCUCGUCACUAUCAGAGACCCACCAGGCUUGAAAAGCUGAAGCUUUUGCAUAUGACUUCCUCCUAUGCUUAUGCAAGUACUGAAAAAGUGUCUUCACCUGAGACUAGGUCGAAGCAGCUGCAUCUAUCGCUGUCGUUCACCAUGCCCUUUAAGAAAUUUGACCACUAGAUGGGGGUAGAGAACCUUAUUUUCUCCAUUAAUAC